UACGAAGGGGGGCUAGCGUUGUUCGGAAUUACUGGGCGUAAAGCGCACGUAGGCGGAUUUGUAAGUCAGGGGUGAAAUCCCGGGGCUCAACCUCGGAACUGCCUUUGAUACUGCAAGUCUCGAGUCCGAUAGAGGUGAGUGGAAUUCCUAGUGUAGAGGUGAAAUUCGUAGAUAUUCGGAAGAACACCAGUGGCGAAGGCGACUCACUGGACGACUGUUGACGCUGAGGUGCGAAAGCGUGGGGAGCAAACAGG
rnacentral:rRNA from 1 species